GUACAGUGCAUGUAUGAAGACGAGUUUCUCAGUUUGUGGAGAAGAUUUUAUUGACAAUAAUAAUUUAUGUCAAUUAAUGUCUUACUGGAUAUGAUUGCUAUGCUGCAGUUAGCAUCACUGGCAAAAGAUGGAAGUCUCCAUUGGGGUAUGAAUGGGCAAGAGACAAUGCAAGAAUGACCAAUUGAUUAGACAAAGUUAUGAAGAACAGACAAGAAUGAACUUGAAGGACUUUGCUUGGAGUUAUUAUGGUAAUGUUUUCUUUCAAUCUGUCUGCUGUAUUCACACAUAUAUAGCAAAGUGUUGGUGUUGUAUCCACAACAGAUGCUGAUGCCAAGUGAUCACUUCUAUCACUUUCCAGCAAAUUGAGAAUCUUGUCAAUGGCAGGUGACUUGAUUGCCUAUCUAAGGAAGGCUGGAUCAGCAGUCCUCGUGCCGAAAAAGGACAUUACAGUACUCUACCACAAUGAGUAUACUCUUGGUCUUGUAAAUCUCUAGAUUUUGCUAUUAGGCUUGUUAAUGUUAGAGUAUGGCAGGUAGUAAUCUUAUUAACAUUUAGUUUACAGCUUGUGUUUAUAAACAAGAGCGUGGGAACAGGAACAAUAAUAUGCAAUUGACACUAACAAAUACUGUCAGAUGCAUGAAAUCUAAAGCCUCAAGCCCUUCUUUACUCUAUACUUGUAUUUAGAUGCUUUAUCGUUGCUACAAGAAAGGUCUGUUCAAUUUUUGCUAUUUGCAGAAACAUAUUUCAGAGCCUCUGUUGUGAGCUUGUG